GUGAAGGAGAUAAUCCGUCCGAGCCAUCAGUUCUUGGAGGAUUCGGUGAGGAGUUACAGUCUAUAGAGUACAUUGUUACAUGUUCUAUCUGUCUGCUUUUAUUAUUAUUAUUAUUAUUGCUUGGGCAUUUUCUGUCAUUAAUUUUUUCUUUGACUCCACAGUCAAUGUGGAUGAUGCUGUGGAUGAUAUUGUGCGCCAAUUUAAAGGGGUUUCAGAUGGCUUAAUGCGAAAGGUUGUUGGUUCGCCAUCCCUCCUCGAUGAACCCAAUUCUUCAAUCUGCAGCAGUACCCUAUCAUGGCAUGCAGAUGAGAGCAAUAAAACUGUUUCAAGGCAAGAUACAUCAGAAACUGUAAACAGCUUUUCUGAUAAUGAAGAAAGUUCUAUUCAAGAAAGCCAAAAGCAGGAGGGAGGAUCCGGUGAACCAGCUAAUGGUUGGCAUUCAGAUAAUGAAUUAAAUUCGAAGGGUUUUCCACCUCGAGUGAUCAAGCGUGAUGAGGAUCCCUUAGGUGCACAGAAGAAACACUGUCCAGAGUCAAAAUCUGAUAGGGUUAAUCGAGGUGGGUUUUCUGCAGCUGCAACUUCCAGUCAAAUCGAGGAUCCAGUUGGAAUGCCACCUGAGUGGACACCACCUAAUGUAAGUGUACCUCUUCUAAAUCUAGUUGAUAAGGUAUUCCAGCUCAAGAGAAGAGGCUGGCUAAGGUGAGCUAUUCUUUUUCAUUAAUUCAGUGAAUUUGUUUAUUGUAAGGUUUUCUUUGUUUGAUUGGGCUCAUAACCUAAUGAUAAAUUGCUUGCCUCUUGAUGCAAAAAGCCAUGGGCCCAAACUAUGUAUGGAAAUUAAAUAUAUGAUUCUUCCCUUUUCCAAGCCUUGAAUAAAAAAAAAAGAGUAUAUAUGCUUUGUGUUUUAAUCCUUGUCCUUGUCCCCCCUUGCUGUCUUAUAAAUGUGCGAAACAAGAAUCUAAUAAACGUAUUAGUUGCUUACACGAGGAAAAAUUGGGCUUUGUAAAUUCUUAAUUAUUGAUAUAUGAACUUAAAUUCAGGUAAGAUCUUCAUAAUCUAUACCAUGUGAAAAUGAUACCAUUCGAAUUGGUGAUUAAAUACCUAACCUGAAAUUGAUCUAUUCAUUGAACUUAUAUCAACAUUGUAAUUUGCUUAUUGUGUCUAUGGAAGCUUAAGAGAUUUCAACUGUUUUUACUUAGUAUUGCGAAGAUCAGCAUCAAUAAGGUAUGCAUGAGAAUUUGAAAAUCUGGAAGUUGGUGUUAGCAAUAGUAACGGCAUUGGUUGAUGUCUAGUUAUUUUUUACCUCUGUGUAUUGCGAUCUGUAGUAUUUUUUAUAAUAUAAUUUCUUUCAUCGUGGACCCUUUGUGCACUAGUGAGUUCCUCUUCUCAAAUAUCUUUCCACAUUUAUAUUACUAUUGGAAUUUUGUUCAUUUUUAAAAUCCAUUAUAGAAUAUCUCUUAGGAAUUGGUCUUCUUAUUUUUCUAGAUUGCUACACCAUAUGGUGUCCUCUUCUCUUCUCUUCUCAUGAUAUUACUAAAAUGGUUCUUUUUGAUCAUUGCACUACACCUUAUCCUCUGCACUAUGACUCUGUUUUAAGGCUUCAUAGUGUCAUUAACUUUGGGUAUCUACUGUGUUCUUGAAGUUCAGAAAAGAGUGUUCCUCCUUUAGUUGUUGAACUUCUCCUUGAAUUUCUUACAGGGAAGGGAGUAAAAAAAAGGAAAGGAG
rnacentral:misc_RNA from 1 species